AUUGUAAUGUGUGGUUUAGCACUAAUUUCUGAAGCACGUAAAUCAAGCAAGAAGAUAUCAAGGCAUCUAAGCCACUCUAAAAGUAGUCACCCUGCGCGACGUCAUCAUCUUCAAGCAACGUCGCAUAGAUCCAGAACGGCGGUUACUGAAACUAAACAUAGUCGCCCUGCGCGACGUCAUCAUCUUGAAACAACGCCGCAUAGAUCCAGAUCGGCGGUUAAUGAAACUAAACAUG